UACGUAGGGGGCAAGCGUUAUCCGGAUUUACUGGGUGUAAAGGGAGCGUAGGUGGUUCGAUGAGUCAGAUGUGAAAGCCCGGGGCUCAACCCCGGGACUGCAUUUGAAACUAUCGGACUAGAGUGCAGGAGAGGUAAGUGGAAUUCCUAGUGUAGCGGUGAAAUGCGUAGAUAUUAGGAGGAACACCAGUGGCGAAGGCGACUUACUGGACUGUAACUGACACUGAGGCUCGAAAGCGUGGGGAGCAAACAGGAUUAGAUACCCG
rnacentral:rRNA from 1 species